rnacentral:rRNA from 1 species
AUUGAACGCUGGCGGCAGGCCUGACACAUGCAAGUCGAGCGGAUGAAGGGAGCUUGCUCCUGGAUUCAGCGGCGGACGGGUGAGUAAUGCCUAGGAAUCUGCCUGGUAGUGGGGGAUAACGUCCGGAAACGGGCGCUAAUACCGCAUACGUCCUGAGGGAGAAAGUGGGGGAUCUUCGGACCUCACGCUAUCAGAUGAGCCUAGGUCGGAUUAGCUAGUUGGUGGGGUAAAGGCCUACCAAGGCGACGAUCCGUAACUGGUCUGAGAGGAUGAUCAGUCACACUGGAACUGAGACACGGUCCAGACUCCUACGGGAGGCAGCAGUGGGGAAUACUGGACAAUGGGCGAAAGCCUGAUCCAGCCAUGCCGCGUGUGUGAAGAAGGUCUUCGGAUUGUAAAGCACUUUAAGUUGGGAGGAAGGGCAGUAAGUUAAUACCUUGCUGUUUUGACGUUACCAACAGAAUAAGCACCGGCUAACUUCGUG